AGGAGGGUGGGAGGGGGUGGGAGGGAGGGAAGAUCGGUAGCCGCAGAGAUCCGAGGAAAUAUCCGGCGUUCUCGUGUAAAGUAGUAUUCGUGGCUGCCGCUUGAUUCAUACGAUGCACGAUAGGAAAGUGGCUUGGAUGUGUAACAGUGUUCUCUGUGUACUGACCAACUCCGAGAAGUGCUGCUUGGCAGAGAUAUUGCCUGGACACCAAGCACUGAGCAGAUGGUCUGGCUGUAACUACCCCCCAAGCCGCGCAUCCUAGUGCUGCUGCCAAACCCAAGCAGGUCGAUUGUCACUCCCUCGACAGAUGUCGUCCUUCAGUAUUAAAGCCCAGUACCCGGACAAUGGAAGUCGAUUUGCUAUAAGACCAGUUUACCAAAGUCAGGGUAAACGAUUCUGUGAUGAAACUACGAAAAAUUUUCUACUCGCAAUAAUUAACUCUUGUGAAAAUUUUUUAUGGAUUAAAUUCAACAGGCGAUAAUCGGUCAGGUCAAUAAACGAAAUACCACCGUCCGUGUGUUGUCAGCACGUCGGAAGGAUCGUAUCGGACGUUGGAACGAUGGACUGUGAAAAAUCUCGACUGGAAAUGUUUCCAGCCGCGCCGGAGAGAGAUACUGGACCACCGAAAGGGAUAAUAUCUACUGAGAGAUAAGGACGGACGAACGAACGAACGAAUGAACGCAUCGCUUCCGGGCAUUACGACUACGGUACAACCAUAAGACGCGAACGUUAACUCCGUUUCCAAAGCAACGAUUUUCACGCUCGGUAUCGUUCUCGUCCCUUUUCAUGACACUUUUUUCAUCCCUAUCUCUAUCUCUAUCUCUCUCUCUCACUCUCUCUCUCUUUCUCUCUCUUUCUAGUCGUUUUCAUGGCCGGUACUUGAGAUAAUGAAUGGCAACAAUUACAACAAUCCUUAAUGCAUUACUUCGUUCUUAUUAUCGUUGAAAUUAUUUUCUAUUUAUUUAUUUCGAUAAAAAUUUCGACAUUUUUUGUCUUUCUUUUUUUUUUUUUUUUUUUUUUUUUUUUUUUUUUUUUUUUUUUUUUUGUUUUUAAAUAUCUCUGAAAGAGAUAAUCGAGCAUGGUAGUAGAUGGCCCAAAUAAAUCAGUACGUAAUAAGAUUAUUGGUGCAUGUACGGGGGUGUAGUAGAACGAACACUCGUGGUCAACCAGGUGGAAUGUUCGAUGGCAAAGGGUUAAUGUGUGCCACUUCGCUUCCAAACUUCAGAAACUGUAAGGGCUAGUGAACCCAUUAGCGAUUAGUCUUCGUUUCAAAGGGUCUUUCACCCGUAUAAGAACGUCUAUUCACUAAUAUCUAUAAUUUUAAAUGGAUAUGUCAUGAUCGAGAUAUCUAUCAUUUCGAUAUAUCGAUUUCUCUUCAAACGUAAAAAUCUAACUAAUGAAAGUCGACCAACUAAAUGAGAGAUCGAUCGAGAGGAAAAAGGUUAUAAUUUUGAUCAUCGAUUAAUUUGAUUUCCUUCGAUCCUACCAAUGCACUUUUAGUUUUUUCUUAAACGUUACCGGAGAAUUUCACCCUCGCUAAUCGCUAACAGACGGAUAACAUCGGGAACAAGGAUAGGAGAAACGGAACGUCGAUCUUUGAUUUACGAGCGAACGUUGGCGGCUGCCGGAAGUCGGCCGCUGUUAAAUUAAAAUCAAUAGCCGCAAUAUCAGGAACGGUUUAUAUCGUUUCAUUAACUAAAAUCAAGAAUCAUCAUUGAAUAAAAAUAUCCGACGGAUUCAGAACGUACGACCCGCAACAUUGGUUAAUUGUAAUUUAUUGUACAAACUAAUUACUAUCUUUCUCUCUCUCUCUCUCUUUCUCUCUCUCUCUCUCUCUUUCUCUCUCUCUCUCUCUUUAUUUUUCUUCGCUUUUUAUUGAGUACUAUCUUCUAAUAGUAACAUGGACUUAAACGAUAUUUCAAUGAGAGAGUCUCUAUGCACCACAUCUCUCGGCAAUAUUUUCUAUUUCUUUUCCCCUUUUUCUUCUUUUUCUCUUCUUUUUUCGUUUUUUCUCUUAGACAAGUUUUACGAUGAUCUUGCAGAAAGACGCAAUGGGUCACCGUGCUGGUGACGGAAAUUUAUUCGAAGACGCUAUUACAGCAGCGUUUCGUUUGCAAGGAAAAAUAGUAAGAGAGAGAGAGAGAGAGAGAGAGAACUCAAAAAUUUAUUCUCGUGGUGAUUCGAUCAUGGCGAAUGUGCUGUUUUUAAAGAUCAUUAUAUUUAUAUAGCAUUUUGAUGUAACAUAAAAAACAUAAAAUAAUUAUAUAUAUAUAUAUAAAUAAAUAUCCUUAUUGCAGAAGUAAAGCCGAUUAAUGUCAAAUUCGUAAUAAAUAAUUAUUAAAUGUU